rnacentral:tRNA from 1 species
CAUGGUAGACGUAGUUUAUGUAAAA